rnacentral:lncRNA from 1 species
UUAAAAAGGCAUGUCAUUGUAUAUUAAUUUCAUUGAAACAUAUGUUCCGACGAUAAAAUAUAAAAUAAAGAAUAGGUUACUAUUACUGUUGUACUGAAAUGACAAAAUUGUUUCAUAUUUCUGAUAAAAUGGAUUGACCCUAGCAGGGAAUCGAACCCCAUUCUCCUAUAAAAACAAAUAGGCGUAAUUACCAAUAUACCACCAAGGUUUCCAAUCCAUUUUACAAAUGCAACAAGAUUGUCACCCAGUAUUAAUUUUAAUCUCAUGUAUAAAUACAGCAUUUGAAAUCGUCAGAUGCACAAAGGCGUGCCCUUUGAUCAACUUUAAAAGGUGUAG